GAUUAGAGUUUGAUCCUGGCUCAGGAUGAACGCUGGCGGCGUGCCUAAUACAUGCAAGUCGAGCGAACAGACAAGGAGCUUGCUCCUUUGACGUUAGCGGCGGACGGGUGAGUAACACGUGGGUAACCUACCUAUAAGACUGGGAUAACUUCGGGAAACCGGAGCUAAUACCGGAUAAUAUUUCGAACCGCAUGGUUCGAUAGUGAAAGAUGGUUUUGCUAUCACUUAUAGAUGGACCCGCGCCGUAUUAGCUAGUUGGUAAGGUAACGGCUUACCAAGGCGACGAUACGUAGCCGACCUGAGAGGGUGAUCGGCCACACUGGAACUGAGACACGGUCCAGACUCCUACGGGAGGCAGCAGUAGGGAAUCUUCCGCAAUGGGCGAAAGCCUGACGGAGCAACGCCGCGUGAGUGAUGAAGGUCUUCGGAUCGUAAAACUCUGUUAUUAGGGAAGAACAUACGUGUAAGUAACUAUGCACGUCUUGACGGUACCUAAUCAGAAAGCCACGGCUAACUACGUGCCAGCAGCCGCGGUAAUACGUAGGUGGCAAGCGUUAUCCGGAAUUAUUGGGCGUAAAGCGCGCGUAGGCGGUUCUUUAAGUCUGAUGUGAAAGCCCACGGCUCAACCGUGGAGGGUCAUUGGAAACUGGAAAACUUGAGUGCAGAAGAGGAAAGUGGAAUUCCAUGUGUAGCGGUGAAAUGCGCAGAGAUAUGGAGGAACACCAGUGGCGAAGGCGACUUUCUGGUCUGUAACUGACGCUGUUGUGCGAAAGCGUGGGGAUCAAACAGGAUUAGAUACCCUGGUAGUCCACGCCGUAAACGAUGAGUGCUAAGUGUUAGGGGGUUUCCGCCCCUUAGUGCUGCAGCUAACGCAUUAAGCACUCCGCCUGGGGAGUACGACCGCAAGGUUGAAACUCAAAGGAAUUGACGGGGACCCGCACAAGCGGUGGAGCAUGUGGUUUAAUUCGAAGCAACGCGAAGAACCUUACCAAAUCUUGACAUCCUUUGACAACUCUAGAGAUAGAGCUUUCCCCUUCGGGGGACAAAGUGACAGGUGGUGCAUGGUUGUCGUCAGCUCGUGUCGUGAGAUGUUGGGUUAAGUCCCGCAACGAGCGCAACCCUUAAGCUUAGUUGCCAUCAUUAAGUUGGGCACUCUAAGUUGACUGCCGGUGACAAACCGGAGGAAGGUGGGGAUGACGUCAAAUCAUCAUGCCCCUUAUGAUUUGGGCUACACACGUGCUACAAUGGACAAUACAAAGGGCAGCGAAACCGCGAGGUCAAGCAAAUCCCAUAAAGUUGUUCUCAGUUCGGAUUGUAGUCUGCAACUCGACUACAUGAAGCUGGAAUCGCUAGUAAUCGUAGAUCAGCAUGCUACGGUGAAUACGUUCCCGGGUCUUGUACACACCGCCCGUCACACCACGAGAGUUUGUAACACCCGAAGCCGGUGGAGUAACCAUUUGGAGCUAGCCGUCGAAGGUGGGACAAAUGAUUGGGGUGAAGUCGUAACAAGGUAACCGAAU
rnacentral:rRNA from 1 species